rfam:Clostridiales bacterium KLE1615 genomic scaffold Scaffold730, whole genome shotgun sequence.
CGGGGCGUAGCGCAGUUUGGUAGCGCGCAUGAAUGGGGUUCAUGAGGCCGCAAGUUCAAGUCUUGUCGCCCCGA